UACCUGAUUGAGAGUAAUUCCCUCAGACCCUCAUCAAUUCAUCAAUUUGUUCAGCAAUCUGUCUGUUUGUGUUUAGACUUGCGGGGAAUGAACUGGGAGAUUCAGGAGUGAAACUGGUUUCUGCGGCUCUGAGGAACCCGGAGUGUAAAAUACAGAAACUGGGGCUGAGAGAUAUCAGUCUCACAGAUUCUGGUGUCGAGGAUCUCGUCUCCGCUCUCAGAACAAACCCAUCACUGACGGAGCUGGAUCUGAGUGAACAUAAACUGGGAGAUUCAGGAGUGAAACUGGUUUCCGCGGCUCUGAGGAACCCGGAGUGUAAAAUACAGAAACUGCUGCUGUACAAUGUCGGUCUCAGGGAUUCUGGCGCCGAGGAUCUCGCCUCUGCUCUCAUUACAAACCCAUCACUGACGGAGCUGGACCUGGGAUUAAACUCACUGACAGACCGAUCUGUCCCCGCUCUCCGCC